UUAAAAUGAUAAAAGGAUUAAGUUAAGGGUGAUAUUUAAAAAUUUUGCAAAGUAAGAAAGUCGAUAUAAAAUAUUCGUUGUGUCGGGGAAUAUUCGUUUGGUUGGGGAAUAUUCUUUUUGUCAGGGAAUAUCCGUACGACGACACCAUCAUUGGUGGACCCCACAACGGAAUAACUGUCGGAGUUAGAAAAUGACAGAAAUAUCUUUUAUAAAAAUAACG
rnacentral:lncRNA from 1 species